GAUGAACGCUGGCGGCGUGCCUAAUACAUGCAAGUCGAGCGAACAGACGAGGAGCUUGCUCCUCUGUCGUUAGCGGCGGACGGGUGAGUAACACGUGGAUACCCUACCUAUAAGACUGGGAUAACUUCGGGAAACCGGCGCUAAUACCGGAUAAUCUAUUGAACCGCAUGGUUCAAUAGUGAAAGACGGUUUUGCUGUCUCUUCUCGAUGGAUCCGCGCCGCAUUAGCUAGUUGGUAAGGUAACGGCUUACCAAGGCAACGAUGCGUAGCCGACCUGCGAGGGUGGUCAGCCACACUGGAACGGAGACACGGUCCAGACGCCUAGGGGAGGCAGCAGUAGGGAAUCUUCCGCAAGGAGCGAAAGCCUGACGGAGCAACGCCGCGUGAGGGAUGAAGAUCUUCGGAUCGGAAAACACUGUUAUUAGGGAAGAACAAAUGUGUAAGUAACUAGGCACGUCUUGACGGUACCUAAUCAGAAAGCCACGGCUAACUACGUG
rnacentral:rRNA from 1 species